CGACGAUGGACGAGGAGUUCGGCGGCUUCAGCCUCCCGGCCACGAUCUACCGGGCGGCGUUCCUCUGGUUCCAGGCCGCGAACGUCGGC
rnacentral:tRNA from 1 species